AUUGAACGCUGGCGGCAGGCCUAACACAUGCAAGUCGAGCGGAUGAAGGGAGCUUGCUCCUGGAUUCAGCGGCGGACGGGUGAGUAAUGCCUAGGAAUCUGCCUGGUAGUUGGGGAUAACGUCCGGAGACGGGCGCUAAUACCGCAUACGUCCUGAGGUAGAACGUGGGGGAUCUUCUGACCUCACGCUAUCAGAUGAGCCUAGGUCGGAUUAGCUAGUUGGUGGGGUAAAGGCCUACCAAGGCGACGAUCCGUAACUGGUCUGAGAGGAUGAUCAGUCAAACUGGAACUGAGACACGGUCCAGACUCCUACGGGAGGCAGCAGUGGGGAAUAUUGGACAAAGGGCGAAAGCCUGAUCCAGCAAUGCCGCGUGUGUGAAGAAGGUCUUCGGAUUGUAAAGCACUUUAAGUUGGGAGGAAGGGCAGUAAGUGAAUACCUUGCUGUUUUGACGUUACCAACAGAAUAAGCACCGGCUAACUUCGUG
rnacentral:rRNA from 1 species